rnacentral:lncRNA from 1 species
AGUUCCUAGAGCAACGAAGCCAGGGCGAUCUCUUCUCAAGCCAAAAGUGUGUGCAUAUAGAUGCAGCCUCAGGCACGUGCCACAGCUACCAGGCAGCAGUGUGAGCAAAAAUGGGUUUGACCGUGUCUGUGCAAAUCCUGGGCGAUCACUGUUGAAACGACACCAGGCAUCGAACCUGCAGCAGGACGGGCAGCCAGUGACUUGCAGUAUGAGCACUACCAGUGAGUAUAAAGUGUAGUGUCAUUGACACAUCGAUGUGCUCUACAAGUUCAUGACAGGUACUGCAAAGGUGUUUGUAUUUGUGAUCUUCAGUGGCCAGCUUUCAUCACGUACAACCUGGGCAGUCACUCCUGAAAGAACACUGGACAGUUCAUGCACCCAACAUGAAGCUAAAUACGCAGCCAGCAACUCGUGCUCCGAGAAAAACUGGUGAGUGCUAACAAGACUGCUAGAUGUGCUAUGUUUUGCUUUAGUUAUGCUGCAAAUAUAUAUUGCAUAAGUGCCUAUGCAACUUUUAGAGGUAAUUCUUUCAGAAAUACUGCCUGGCCAAUCGAUACUACGACAACAGCAAGUAAUUUGUGUGCAAAGUCCAAAGCAGGACACUCAGCCACCUGUUAGCACUUCAGGCAAACAUGGGCUUAAAGUUGGUCCUGGCCAGUCACUGCUAAAGCGCAAGCAAAAAGCUUGUGACCUAAAGCCAAGGAAGGAUUCAAAGUCAAUUGUUA